rnacentral:rRNA from 1 species
AUACGGAGGAUCCAAGCGUUAUCCGGAUUUAUUGGGUUUAAAAGGGUGCGUAGGCGGACUUAUAAGUCAGCGGUGAAAGUUUGCAGCUUAACUGUAAAAUUGCCGUUGAAACUGUUAGUCUUGAGUGUAAGUGAGGUAGGCGGAAUGUGUUGUGUAGCGGUGAAAUGCUUAGAUAUAACACAGAACACCAAUUGCGAAGGCAGCUUACUGGGAUACAACUGACGCUGAGGCACGAAAGCGUGGGGAUC